AACGUAGGAGACGAACGUUAUCCGGAGUUACUGGGCGUAAAGGGCGUGUAGGCGGUUUGUUAAGUCUGGCGUGAAAGCUCUCGGCUAAACCGGGAGAGGUCGUUGGAUACUGGCGAACUCGAGGAUGGUAGAGGCGUGUGGAAUUCCGGGUGUAGUGGUGAAAUGCGUAGAGAUCCGGAAGAACACCGGUGGCGAAGGCGGUCUGCUGGGCAGUUGCUGACACUGAGGCGCGACAGCGUGGGGAGCAAACAGG
rnacentral:rRNA from 1 species